UUGAACGCUGGCGGCAUGCUUUACACAUGCGAGUCGAACGGUAACAGGUUAAGCUGACGAGUGGCGAACGGGUGAGUAAUGCAUCGGAACGUGCCCGAUCGUGGGGGAUAACGCAGCGAAAGCUGCGCCAAUACCGCAUACGAUCUGAGGAUGAAAGCGGGGGACCGUAAGGCCUCGCGCGAUCGGAGCGGCCGAUGUCAGAUUAGGUAGUUGGUGGGAUAAAAGCUUACCAAGCCGACGAUCUGUAGCUGGUCUGAGAGGACGACCAGCCACACUGGGACUGCGACACGGCCCAGACUCCUACGGGAGGCAGCAGUGGGGAAUUUUGGACAAUGGGCGAAAGCCUGAUCCAGCCAUGCCGCGUGCAGGAUGAAGGCCUUCGGGUUGUAAACUGCUUUUGUACGGAACGAAAAAGUCUUCUCUAAUACAGGGGGCGAAUGACGGUACCGUAAUAAUACGCACCGGCUAACUACGU
rnacentral:rRNA from 1 species